AUGUCGGCCCGCGCAGGCCCCUGGGCGGCGGCAGGGCGGAGGAGCGCAGGAGAGGGGGCCAGGCCACCGCGCGGAGGCGGAGCGGGCCGCGGUCAGGCGCUUGUCCCCCUGGCGGCGCGGCGCUUGUCCCCCUGGCUGCCCGGCGCUUGUCCCCCUGGCUGCCCGGCGCUUGUCCCCCUGGCUGCCCGACGCGCCCCGGCAGCCGCAGUGAGCGGCUCCUCAGGCACCCGGUAUCUGGGCAGCAAGAUCAGCCGCAUCUCCAAGGCGCAGAGCCGCUACGAGGGCAUCCUCUGCACCAUCGACACCGACAGCUCCACCGUGGCGCUCGCCAAAGUGAGACCGUCCCACAGAUAGGCCUGCUCCCCCCCGAGAAGAGAUUUGUGAGUGCAUCAUUUUCCGGGAAGUGACAUCAAAGAGAUCACUGCGUGUGAACCUCCGACAGCGCAGCACACCCUCUCGCAGGAUCCCGCCGCUGUUCGUCUUCCCCGCGCUCUGCUUCUUCCCGCCCUCCCAGCCCUUUCCGAGGGAUGGCGCCCUGUGGCCCGUGGCGGCCGGCUCCUGCUCAGCCAGCAGUAGGCCGCCUCCCUGGGUCUAGAGAAGGGAGCUGGUUUUCCGCCCAUCCCAGUCGGCAAGAGGCUCAUGGUGGAGCAGGGCGUCCAGACUGGUUCUGCUGAUAACCUGAAUGUAAAAGGCUGUUGUUACCUGGCAAGGGCACCACAGGGACGCAGCUCCAUGGUCGUCAGGCACCCCCGAGCUGCAAGACCACCGGCGAUGUAGUCCAGCCGGCAGCUGUGCAAACUCAAGGGCAGAUGAACGACGAGAACAGAAGACCUCAGAGGAGGCGACCAGGAAACAGGCGAACGAGGAAUCGCUCCAGAGGGCAAAGCCGUCCAGCUAAGGUCAAGGAAAACACAAUCAAAUUUGAGGGCGACUUUGAUUUUGAGAGUGCAAAUGCCCAGUUCAACCGAGAGGAGCUUGACAAAGAGUUUACGAAGACACUGAAUUUUAAAGAUGACAAGGCUGGGAAGGGGGAAGAGAAGGACCCAGCUGUGGUGGCCCAGAGCGAAGAAACGCCGGCCGAGGAAGGCCUUCUGGGGCCCAACUGCUACUGUGACAAAUCCAAGCCGUUCUUUGACAACCUCUCUUCUGAACUCAAGACCAGCUCCAGGCUGACAACGUGGGCCGAAGGGAGGAAGCUCAACACGGAGACCUUGGGGGUGUCUGGGAGGUUUCUUCAUGGCCGCAGUUCUCGGGGUGGAUUCCGAGGAGGCAGGGGCAAUGGGACCACCCGUGGCAACCCCACUUCCCACAGAGCUGGAACUGGCAGGGCGUGAAGAUGUAGUCAUAGGCUCCUGCUGAAGAGGCGCAGAAAUGAUUCCCUGUGUCAGCACACAAGGAAAACGCUCCACUUACAAGGAGAUGUGGUCACCUUGUUUACAGAGUUUGGAAGAUUCCCAUACUGCUACUUAUGUUUUGGACUUAACUUGGACACGGUCUCAGUUAGAACCACUUGUUUUGGGGAAGUAUUCAUGGGUAAACCUCUUUGAAGUGUCUUUACCUAUGUUUCCUUUAGUUGCACAUAGCCUAAUUCCAAGGUUUCUGUAUUUUGCAAAAAGGUUUCUAUAGCGAAAGCUGAAUCCUUAUUUUGUGAUUUUUUUUUUUUUUAAUGACAGCUUUGACUUUUCAAAGUGAAACCAAAUCUCAUUUGGCAGAUGUGGCAGCCAAGUGCAUCUCUGUAACCCUGGCCCCCGGUACUGCUGGCCUGGCACCCCCACUGCCAAGGGUGGGGUCUCAGGAGUCAGGCACGGCCAGCACAGGUGUGGGAGGAGGUGGGUGGGUGAAGGGCACAGAAGGGGUUGUGCUAUGGAUCAUGUUGUGUAAGUGCACCAGACCACCCUGAUGACACCCACAGUAAUGUUGUCAAGGUUGGGACUGGCCAGGGGUAGGUGGAUUAGAAGCACCUGGGAGUAGUGGCCAGUGGCCCCAGAUGCGAGCCACGGAGCUGCUGUACAGAGCCUCGUGUCCGUAAGCUUCUGGGUCGCAGUUGGAGCUUAGGAUGAGCCCCUGUGGCGCCUUGGCCCUUCUGUGGUCCCUGCCAGGCUCUGACCUGUGCCAGUCAGUCAUUGCUGGACUCUGGCCACACACUUUGGUGUUCUCAUCUACUUGGAAAUGAGCCAGUCUUUUUUGCAAGGUCAGUUGACCAAGAGCAUAUUUCCCCUUUGUUGUACAUCGUUCUUUUGUGUUUCUGUUUUAAAGGUGGGUGGAGGGAGGGCAGGGUCCACAUUUGAGGUCUACAUUUGUUGCAUGAGUCGAUGGGUCAGAACUUUAAUAUACGCAUGCAUCCUGAGUGACAGGUCAUUUUGUUGAACAUAAGCACCUUGGUAACUAAACCCUUCUAAUAGCUACAAAAGCUUUAGUUCUGUAUUGAUUAAGUUACUGUAAAAGCUUGGGUUUAUUUUUGUAGGACUUCAUGGCUAAGAAUUAGAACAUAGCAAGGGGGGAUCCUCUGUUGGAGUAAUGUAAAUUAUAAUUAUAAAUAAACAUGCAAACCUGAAAAAAAA